CUUCCGGCCAAUGAGGUACAUGUACCUUGUUGACUGGAAGGAGAUCCUUCCGGUCAACGAGGUACAUGUACCUCGUUGACUGGAAG
rnacentral:miRNA from 1 species